rnacentral:rRNA from 1 species
UACAGAGGGUGCGAGCGUUAAUCGGAAUUACUGGGCGUAAAGCGCACGUAGGUGGCGACGUAAGUCGGGUGUGAAAGCCCCGGGCUCAACCUGGGAAUUGCAUUCGAGACUGCAUUGCUGGAGUACGGAAGAGGAGGGCGGAAUUCCCGGUGUAGCGGUGAAAUGCGUAGAGAUCGGGAAGAACAUCAGUGGCGAAGGCGGUCUGCUGGGCCGUUGCUGACGCUGAGGCGCGACAGCGUGGGGAGCAAACAGG